GUUGAACGCUGGCGGCAGGCCUAACACAUGCAAGUCGAGCGAGCGGCUGAAGGGUGAGUAAUGUCUGGGGAGCAGCCUGAUGGAGGGGGAUACAUACGGGAGACGGUAGCUAAUACAGCAUAACCUAAGGGGUGCCCAGAUGGGAGUAGCUAGUAGGUGGGGUAACGGCUCACCUAGGCGACGAGCCAUAGCCGGUCUGAGAGGAUGAUCAGCCACACUGGAACUGAGACACGGUCCAGACUCCUACGGGAGGCAGCAGUGGGGAAUAUUGCACAAUGGGCGCAAGCCUGAUGCAGCCAGGCCGCGUGUAUGAAGAAGGCCUUCGGGUUGUAAAGUACUUUCAUCGGGGAGGCGUUACCCACAGAAGAAGCACCGGCUAACUCCGUGCCAGCAGCCGCGGUAAUAC
rnacentral:rRNA from 1 species